GGAGGGAGGAGGAGGGAGGGACGGGGGGAGGCGGCUCCCAGCCCGGGGGAGGAACUACAAGUCCCGUGAAGCCGCGCCGCCCGCCCGCCGCCAGCGGGGCUUUAUAAGCGGGGAAAUGGCCCGAACGCCGCAGUCGGAGCAUCUCUGGGCGCGGCGGUGUCGGCUCUGGCUCCGGGCACCUGCGGGGAUGGAGCGGCAGCGGGGCCGGACCGCCCCCCUCCACCCGCCCCCCACCCCGAUUAACUCGGGGUCCCCCCCCUCCGGGAGGUGUGGGUGCGGGUGAUGCUGCCGGAGCGGCGGGAGGAGGCGGCCCGCUGAGGUUUUGGUAACUGCCAUCCUGGGGCAGGUGGAUGCGAUGGCUGUUGGAGUGUCCUUUGUACCUGGAAGAGUGAAGGCGCAAACAGCCUGACCAUAUGGAUUUGGGACUUCUCCCCCUCGGCCAAGCAAGGAGGAUUCAUCUUGGGAUGUUUUCUGCCUGCUGGGAUCUCACAUCUGGAGCCCUCCUGGAUCGCUGUGGGUUUUGGAUGCUCCCUUCUGCCUGUAGCUGGGAAUGCGUGCUGCUGCCAGGCAGCCACAGACACCUGCUCCUCUAAAUCUGCUGGAUUAUUUCUUUUGGCAUCGCUCUGCCAGUGCGGCAGCUUUUCCUCAUCAUGUGGAACUGCCUUUGGUGCUUGAGGUCACCCAACUUACAGAUGUAGAAAGCAGCAGUUGCAGCCCAGCGCUGCAGACUCCUCUCCUUUUUUGGGCUACUGUUCCUCAGCAUCGUGGCACUUUGGAAGAAGACCCCGUUCAUACACGUGUGUAGGAAUGUCCUGCUGGUCCUAGGGCCAGCAGUGGAGGCUCGAGGUGCGCCUGAGAGGAGAGCUGAGGCGCUGUAGCAGGGACCACCACCAGCACAUCGCCGUGGAUGGGAGGGAGGAAGGGCAGAGGCAGCACAGUACCCAGCACCCUCCAGGGAUCAGGGUGCACCCAGGGCCGUGCUGUGCUCCUUCCCCCAGCGCUGACGUGGGAAUGGCCCCAGUGCAGCCGCCCACCGCCGCUCGCUGUGAUCCAGGGUCCUGAGCUGACCUCGCUCCGCUGCGCCCACGCAGGGCAGGGAUGGCCGAGUUACCGCUCCCUGCUGCGCUCUGCACAUCCUCCUCCUGGCCGGGUGGCCUCAGGAUCCAUGGGGCUGGAUGGCUGCGUGCUCUCAGGUCAAACAGUAGCUCCAUUUUUUCCCUCGUGAGGGACCAAGAGCUUGCCCGGUUCCAAGGAAACUGCUGUGGAUUUUUAUUUUAUUUUAGUUUUUUACCCAUCGGCUCUUCUUUCUGAAUCUUUCUGGGGCUUGGGGCUCUUUAUGAGGAUGCUCAGACCAGCGCUGGGUGCAGCCCCAUGCAGAGGGGUGAACACCUCUGGAGAAGCAAUGGGAGCAGCACACCAAGAGCUGCCAACCGCAGUGGCUUGGGUCUGAACCUGUCUGGGAGCUGUGUCCCUUCACAUCGCGUGGCUGCAUCCUCCCCAGCACAUCCCAUAGGGAUGAGGUGGGAUUCCGGGAGGCGCAAGGCCAAACCGCAGCGAGGGGAACGUCAAGAUGGGGAAAAAUGUCACCCCCUGAAACAAUUAAACUGCUUAAUAAAAUCCGUUGCCUCUCGGAGUGCUCGCUGUUCUUUUCCGUUUGCCUUGGCUCAGCCACACUUACAUCAUGGCCCUAUCGCGGGGCUGCCGAGUGGACGGGUUUGAUUGCACAGGAAACCGGCGCUUUGGCAAACUUCUCUGCCCUGGUAAAGCCAGGCCAAGAGCUUAAUGUCUUUGCUUUGCAGAAAAAUUCUUCCCUGUCCUUUCCCUCUUUUCUUUCUGCAGCCCUUAACCAUCACCCGCCAACUAGGCAUCUGCCCCUUGUACGCCUCCUGCUCCAAGAGCGCCUGAGAUGCAGAUUAAUUCCCCUUAAAUCAUGUUGUUUCAUGUCCACGGACUGCAUGUCCCCUCCCACCCUGUAGAGCUGAAGCACUGGAAGGUGCCGUGUGGAAACGUAACAUAAAAAGGAUAUUUAUGUAAUGGAAAUGCCCUUUGAUUUUUUUUUAAGAGUUAUGUCUUCAUUAUGAAAAAAAAAAAAAAAAAGAUGUCCUUUCAUCUAAAAAGCACCGUAGCCUUAGGCACGUGUGUGAAUGUGUUGGGUGUUUAGCUGUGGUGGGUGACUUGUGGUCUCAAUGUCGAGCUGGUGGUGACUGCUGUGCUCUGCUGGGACAGCAGCACCUUGGUCAGGAACUUGGAGUCCUGGGUUCUUUCCUUUGAAAUAAUUACUUGAGUGUUUUAAGAACCACGUUCUGCCCUUGGGAAAACUGUGGUAGAAUAGCAAAGCUCAGAAAUGUGUGGACAUCGCUCGGUGUUUGGUUUGGUGACGAUGGGUAAGUGGUGAUGUCAAAUCCAUUGUCAUCAGUUAAGUGUCUUUGGAGGUGGAAGCCAAGGCAAUGCUCAGCCCUUUGCCACUGCUCAUGUUGAGGUGGAGCUGAUGGUCUUUUCUCCUCCUGGUGGUGUGGAGCCAUGCCUCAUGGAGCAGUGAGCAGGUGCUCAGGCAAAUCGCAGUGUCCCUUCCAUGAGCCAAACCUGAUGGCGCACUAGGGACACCGCUAUCCUUGGCCAAGAAGAGCUGCGCCGUUGAUGGCCAAUGCGUGUGACCACAUUUUUCUGCAGUAGGGUGCAAACCAUUGGCAUUCCUGCUGGGGGGCAUCUGCUUUUGGGAUCCUUUUUCACAGCUCUUCCCUGCCAAAGUUGACCCCGUUAGCCCCAGCCGGAAUGGGUGCUGCCUUCCUCCCACCCUGCUCCGGGGAUGGACGGCAGCGCCCAGGCACGGACCCUUCCGAGUUCAUAACUAAUAUUGACUUCAAAGGCUGUUUGCCUUCGGUGUCGGUCAGUCGUGUAAUCCCGGCUUGUUUAGAGACGGCGAGCAAACAGAGAGCCAGGCCGUUAAAAGGGGAAGGGCGUGGGAGAUGUAUUGCUAUUUACCUGUGGAACCGGGAGGAAAACUUGCCUGUCGUUCUCGCUAAUAAAUACAAACUGGAAGCACGGAUAAACCCAAGGGGAUUUAUUAGUUUGCUUUACCAAAGGCAAACAUUAAGACGAGCUGGCUCGGCCCCAGGGCUGCUUUUGGGCUUUUGUGUGCUGCAGCCUGGCGCCUAUGGGCACCGAUAAGGACGCGCUCUGUGCUCAGCCACUUGGGCUCAAGGCAUUUCUUCUGCAAUACUUCUGUCUCCCUUUGGCCCAGGCCUGGUCCUGCGUGGAAAUGGGCACUUGUGUGGCCCUGCCUGGACUUUGGAGCCACCCCGGUGCCAAAUUACUGCUGCCUUCCCCAGCACUGAGGGACGUGGUUAGUCAGCAUGGUGGUAGUGGGUUGGUGGUUGAACUUAGUGAACCUAGUGGUCUUUUCCAACCUUAACGAGCCUAUGAUCCCAUCUAUCCCCUUCCUAGCACCUGCUUGCUUUUGGCUUGUUCAUCCCGAGGCUUGGUGCAUGCAAUGCUGCUCAAGACAUAUAGACAUGAAUGAUGGCCAAGGGGAACUGGAUUUGCUUUUCCUCAGGUUUCGAAUGUGGGAUCCCCUUUUGGAGAAGGCUUAGGGGUUUGGAAGUUUUCUAUCCUGCUUGGAAAAGGGGGAGCAGAGUGCAGUCAGGAUGCAAAAGGCUCAGGGAUGGUGUCAGCUUAAUUAUGUUUGCUUCAGUUUGAAUAAAACCACAUUAGAAGCCAUGAGCCAUUGCAGGGGGAGGAAGAACGGCUUUCCUGAGCCCCAACCAUCCCUCCAUUUGCAGUUUUCCCUUCUCAUCCCUAUACCUCUGCCCCAAUUCAUCCGUCCCUGCAGCAUCUGGUCCACGUUUACAGGCAGCUUGAGAUUGCUCCUAUAACUGUGAUUUUUCCCCUGAGUCUCAUAAAACCCUUCUGCUGGAGCUGGGGGCAUCCAGGCCCCCUCCAGUCCCAGUGCUGGAAGUGGGCAGGCUGGGAAUGGGCUGCAGCUGCAUGCAGGAUACACUGGGCUGUGCUGGGUGCUGCAUUGCUCCUGGCAGAGCAGCAUUGUUGGAGAUACAUCUCCCAUCAUUCACCAUCUGUUAAACUGGGUUUUUAUUUUUAUUUGUUAAAGGGGACAUGCAUGUUACAUCUCUAUCAGAAAACAUAGCCAGAGCCAAAGCCUAUGAAAGAGAAUCAUCCCAUCAACUCAUUUGGCACGAGCACAGAAUUUCUCCCAUCUUUCCCUAAUCCAUUAUUUGGGACCUUUUCCCUCUGUGCUCUCCACCAUCUCGCUCAUACUGCUGUUUGUCUGAUGAUCAAGAGCAGCUGAAAACAAAUCAAGCACAGUGAAAACCCUUUGGGGGGCUGCUUGGGCAAGAUGUCAGGACAGCACAGCCCACCUCUUCAAGGAGGCACAGGUGCUGUGCAUCAGCCUGCACAGCUGGGGAGCACUGAGGCACUUAUCCCUUUGCCCUGCUCAGGUGCAGCUCGUUAGUGCAUGGAGCAGGUGGGGGUUGCCCUUUAAAUUGAGCAGGGAGGAGGUGGCCCAGAGCUUUAGGGGCUUGCUGGAGAGAGGAGGCUGUUUGCUGUGCUCUUCUGACUGGAGAUCUCUUGGACUUCAUGAUUUGCUUUGAAGCAUUGGUCUUUGGGGGUGUGCUCCAGUCACCCAGAAACAAAUCUUCCUGGCGGCCUGUUGCAACAGAACUGUCAUUUUUAAAACACAAACCACGAAGCUGAGAUUGUUUACUGCCAUGGCUCUAGAGGCUGAAGCUUUAAGCAGAGCUGCUAGUUCUCGACAGCCCUGUAUUAGUCAUGGGAACUGGCAGUGGAGAACUGAAAUUAAUAUUUGCAGAACCCCCCCCCUCCCUGCUCCUGCUCUCUCCUGAAUGCGAGGAAAAUUUUCACCUCCAGCCCGAUUUCCCAGUACGUGAUUGAGAACAUGUGAAUCCACAGCGACUGAACUGCCAGUGACCUCUGGGGAGCAAGUGGGUUAAUCAAAGCUGCACUCUUCCUUGCACUUCAGUCGCUAAAGCUCCUGCAUUUCCUCCUGAUGGCUGAUAAGGAGGGAUUGAAUUUAUGAAAGAGAUGAAGAUGUUUGGAUAAGCAGCAGCACCACAGCGAGCCUGUCUGACAAGUCAGGGCCUGAAGGAAGCCAGUGGAGGGUUUGGUGGUAGUUUUCCCAGGUUCCUUCCCCCAGCUGUUGCUCUUGGUGGGGACCCAGCUGUGCACGGUGCUGUGCAGGUGUAUUGCUGCACUUGCACACUGAAGUGAGGUCCUCAGCUGCAUGGCAGCUUGCAGACCCCAGGACUGCAAUGCAAGUGGUGGCCACUGUCACUGCUGCAAAACUGCUGUCACUGUAAUGUGCAGCUCCCAUGGAGGUGCUGCUGGUGGCAGUGACUAUGCCGUGAGCCGUGGGGUUCUGUGCACCCCAGAAAUGCUUGAGCUCUUCCUCAUCCCCAGCAAAGAGUGUGUGCCUUUGAGAUGUGUUGGUGCUGGUGGCUACGAGCAGCCUGGUGCUGGCAGAGCCCUGUGUGAGGGCACUGUGGCAUCCACCUUUGUUUCCAUACCCUGGUCCUAAAUAAAGAAGGUAGGAGUGUGUUACUGAACUCAUGUUUGAUCAUUUCCAUGCUCUUUGGGCCAUACUUUGCUAUGCCGGAAAGGCCAACAACUGUCUCGGAGAUCAUUAUCUCCCCCAUAUAUUUUUAGAUAUCCCUUAUCAAUGCUGCAAGAAGGUGAAUCAUAUGUUUUGAAGGGAGCUGCUUCUGUUCCAGAUGUCUUUUGGAAAACACAGGGAGGGGAGAAGGGUGGCAGAGCGGGGAAUGACGGCAUAGCAUGAGGCAUUCCCUUGGCUGCUGGCCCAGUAGGGAUGGGCUGAGGGCUGCUCGGGGGCUGCUGAGCCCCUUUGCAGUGCUUUGGGUUUGUACUCAGUGCUCCCUGUGGGAGAAGUCUCGCAGCUCUUGCAGUGAGCAAGGGCUGGGCUGUGCUCCCCCAGAAGCAACAAGCUUUGCUGCUCUCUGGGCUGCUUUUCUCAACCCCUUUCCUGCUCAGAAGGUGGAGAAACCUGCAUGUUGCUCCUCAACUUGGAAAAACUCUCUUGAAGGCUUCUUGCCUUGCAGGUGGCAUUGGGAAAGUUAAAGCUCCAGAGCUCUGGGCACAGUCAUUGCCCCCUCCUUUGACAUCCCCCCACCUGUGCAGGAAAAAGCAAUUCAGGUGAUGUCUCCAUUAAAAAGCUGCAGCGCUGAAGUGGCUGUUUGUGCUGAGAGGGGAAUGCCCACAGGUAAUUCAUCUUGACGUUUAUAGAAAGCAUAAGGGUUUGCUCAUUCAUAAACGAAGGAACAGGGUGUUUUUCUGCAUUGGCUGAGCUCUGGGGCUGCUCUAGUGUUAUUGUAGCUGAUUGUAAUCGUUUCCGGACGUGCCCCAAUAUGCCUACGGGGGGUUGCAUGGGAACAGUAACAACGUGGGACCAGAGAGCAAACCUGUUGGGCAGGAACGGCCCGAGGAGGGCUGACAGCUCCUCUUCCUCCCCUGCUUUUCUGAAUGGCAGUGGAGGGAGAGCCCGGGGAGGUGCUGGCACCAAGUGUGACAGUGCAGCGGGUGCAUAGUGGUUGUAGCUGGAGAGCAUCCUGGUGCUGGGCUCUGCGAGCUGCAGCUCGGAGGAAAAGUGAGGAAUGCUUCGCUUUCAGGACAGGCUGUUUUUUGAAAAUGGUUUUUCUUGCUCGUUGUCCGAGCACAGAUAGAGGGAAAACCCGCUCCCUGGUGCAGGAGCAGAGGGACUGGCUCCAGCCUUGUGCUGAGUGGAGGUUUCUUGCUGGUGCUGCUGAUGCGUUGCCUUGGGUUGCUCUGCAGCUUCCCUGAGCACAAGCCUGUGCUCUGGAGCAGUGCAGGCUUUUUGUGCAAAUGCCCUGGCUUGCAGAGCUUUCUUCUUGCAAACGGUGCAUCCAUUGGCUGCUCUUGGCAAACCUUGUUUAGCAGAGCGGAAGACUGGAGGAGCUCCCCAGUCUUUGCUUUUGAGAUGCUCAAAUCUGUUCCUGGCACCGAACCAGAUUAUAUUGGAUUAUCCUGAAGUCUGCAGUGAUACUCUGCAUUUUGUGGCUAGCCUUAUGGCAUGGGGCUGCUGAGCAGCCAAGGUAUAAGUGUCCCUUGGUAAUCCAGCUCAUUAAUGAGCUCAGCCUUCUUCCUGCUGAAUGAGUAAUUGUGGCAAAACCGCAUGUGGAGGAGCAGCAGAUGAGAUGCACUGGACAAGACCUGUGGAUCUCACUUUGGGUUCUGUAGGCUCUAAUCCUGGUUGCUGCCAGCAAUGUGUGCUCCUUCUGGGAUUAGUGUUGGGCACCUGGUGCUUCCUGAUCCAUUGUAGCUGCUAGCCUGCGAGUUGUAGACCUCAGGAAAAUGUGGAAAGGUAAAAUGAAGAACAUUUCCUCUGCCCAUCCACCCAUCUGGUGCUUGCUCCUCACCCUCAGGAUGUGGGGCUGCUGCAGGUCCCCAUUGCUCUGUCCCCAGGGCUGGUGGCAGCACCGAGGUCCUCGUGCCUCAUCCUCUGUCCCCAGCCAAGUUUUCCUCCCAUCUCUUGGGAGCGGCCGAGCCUCCGUUUUGGCAACAGCGCCUCUGGGGAGUGACGUGCCCGGGUGUUUGAGCAGGUCCCGGAAUCGUGAGAACUCCCAGUCCCUUGGCACAUCCCUCUGAAUCACUGACGUUCAGUGGCCACCUCCACCCAUGCCUGUCCCCUGCCUGCUCCCUUGCCGGGUGUCAGUUCUCGAGCCUACGUGCUGAGAAGAAAAGUUAAAAAGGUCUGGCCAGGAAACCUUCAAGUAGGAGCACUUUCCUUUCUGAGCAGGGCAGCCCCUCCACCCCCUGGGCUCUGUGACAUCUCUGCAGCCCCCCCCCCCCCCCCAGCUCCGCACUGCAGGAACGACACCGGAGCCCUCAUCUGCUUGGGAGGGAGCGUGUCCCUGCCCGAGCUGCGGGGGUAGGAAAGGAAGAGGAGGGAGCGAUGGAGGUCACCUUCCGCUGCCCCGGGACGGUAACGAACCCCACGCAAAGGCCCGGGUCGAGCUCUCCAGAGUCAUUAUCGCAACAGGCUGCGAAAGGUUAGGGAGGAAGGAGCUUUUCGGAAGUCUUUGCCCACUAAUUGAUUGUGAAGAGCGGAAGGAAGGAUGUAUCAAAAAAAGCGAAAGCCCCGUGCCGUGUGUAACCCCCUCCUCCCCGCCCCGAGUUCUGCGAGGAGGCAGCAGGUUGGAGCUGGGGCUGUAACGGUGCAGCGGGAAAUGAGAUCCAACAGGAGCGGGGUCUCCUUUCAGCCUAAUGGCAGAUCUGGAAAAUGUUUUCUAGCAUCAUUAGAAAGGAUGAAAAACGUGAAGUUCUGGGUUGUGCACUGUCCCUGCCCGGUGAGGGGUGCAGGGAAUGGCUGCUCCUGCUUGAUGUUGCCCCAUGUGCUGUGGGCAGCUCUUGGUGCGCAGCAUGGCAUGAUGCCCUCUCACUCAUUGCUCCUCUUGGCCGCCAACAUCCAUAGCAGCUGCCUGGAAAUGUGCUCCAAACCGUGCAUGUGGGUCCCCUGGGGCUGCAGCUGCCCCACUGUGAGCAGUGCUGCAUGGUGCAUGGGCUUUGGGCUGCUCUGCAUGAGCAGUGCAGCACCGGUUGAGUUUGUACCAAUUUGGGAAACUGAAGUACCAGCGUCUGAAGUCCCCCAAGUGUGGGCUGCAUUGCACAGACCAGGCAGAGGCUGGGGAGGAGAUAUGUCCCGGUUCGGUCCCAGAGGUGCUGCUGGCUGCGUGCCGCGUGGGGACGGUGUGGGAAGGAAGUCCUCGAAAUGGCUGUGGCUUUCUGGCCCCAGGUGAGGCAGUGCCCAGAAAUGAAAGGCAGCUGCAGAAUUUGCCUCCUCCCAUGACUGGAUGAAACCAGAGCCCUUUAAGAUGACACAGUGCAAGAAUUAAUCCACUCAGGUGGCACCGAGGUAUUGUCUAAGUAUGACAAGAAUCUCCUGGAACAACAGUGUGUUCGUAUCUACACCAAGCAGUCCAAUUUCGUAUUUCCCAAUCAAAUAUUUGCCAAGAAAACAGACAAUUCAUGCCAUCCUCUAACCUCUACCUCUCCUUAACCUUUCAGUCUGUCUUCCAGACACAGGAGAAAACGCAGUGGGAGAGGAGAUCCACUCUUCUGAGGACAGAGUCCUUGGCCAACGCUGAGUGAAUCCUGGUGCAACAUAGGACGGCAGCCAUCAUCAUCAUUGUUAUACUGGAUGGAGCCGGUGACCACCAGGGCUUCACUUCUCAUCUCUGCUGAUGCGCUCUAAAAUCGGGCUCCCCUCCAGCACGUUUGGAGCAGCAGCGCUGAGAACGUUGUGCUGAACCCUCCAUCCACCACCGAGGAAAACGCGCAGCGGAGGAAAGUCAGAUUCCAGAUUGCUCAGCAGAAAGGAAAACCCAGCUUGGAAGCCCCUCUGGAAGAGGGCCAGGCAGUAAUCUCACGGCGUGUGGGUGAGAAUGGCAGCACGUCCUUUGGCCUCUGACGGAGCUGCUCGCGCUCAGCAUCCAGCCUCCUCCGUUUAUAGCCCCGAUUUCCAACCAGCUAAAUGAAAAUACUUGUGGGCAGCAAAAAUAGCCGGUGCUGAAAACCUGUGUCUACCGAGGGUGGAAAUUGCAGGGAGUUCCUCCGUGUCCGCAGCCGAUCAUUAGGAGUGGUGGCAUAAAUCCGGCGGUUGCGUGGUGUGCCGCGGGCGGGCUCCCUGCAGCGACCCAGGGCCGAGCGCCCACCGCAGCCCGUGGGAUGCUCUGAGGAUGCUCCUGAGGAAUUGGCUUUUUGGGGGGGAUAAGAAAAGAGGAAAAAGCAGCAGCACGCAUUUUUCCCUUGCAUCAGCACGGUAUGCACUGGGAUGGAGUUUGCCAUCGUCAGCGUUAAGAUCGUUUCUGCUCCCUCUGUGGGAUAGGGGAUGUGGUGUUGAGAUGGGAGCGGGGUUGCUAUGGUUGCUACACCAUCUAUGGUGGUGUGUUCACAGUGCACAAUUUAUCCCCUAAGUAUGCAAAUGUGCCAUGCAAACAUGUGCAAAUCCUGAUUUUUUUUGUCAGCUGGCAAGAUACAGUUAAACAAUAUAAUUCAGAGGCCUGGGAGCCAGCAGAAGAGCACUGCAGGGCAAUACCCAGGGCUCAGCUGCCAGCAGCACGGGGUGGGAAUGCUGCAGGUUACCCUCAUGUUAUAGCAGCAGCAAGGAAGCGCUUUGCCUCAUCGUUUAGCAAAUGCUGUCAUGCAAUGAGGCAAUGCCACUGCUGGUGUUUUGGCUGCCUCUCCUUGCAGCUCGGGGUGUGUGUGGGGGUGCAUUGGCCAUCAGCUCAUGUUGCUUCUGUACUGACUCAUUUAUCUUUUGGUGCUGGUCCUCCAGCACCACGUGGAAAUGCUUGAGCAGCCACUCUAACCUUUGGGCUGCAAUAAUGAGCCUCACAUGGCAUCUGAUUGGCAACAUGUGGCCUAAGCCAUUGUUUUUCUUCAGCUGCUUGUUAAGCCCUGAUCUCUGUUUGAUUUCAAGGUGAAACCAAGGGGGAUUUUGCUGAGGCUUCUCUGGUUCAGUUUGGAUCUCACAGCCUAGUAUACUGCUGGAGGCAGGGAGGGGUCAGAGCUGAAUUGACUCCUUCUGACACCACCCCAGUGCUGUGUGGAACGGAGGCAAUGUUCUGCUACAUGUGGGCUCUGCUGGAGCAUCUCCGGGCUCAGCUGGAAGCAGAUCUUCCCAUUAAAGAACGCGGAGGGGAAAAAUGCAGCAAGCUUUGGUCAGAAAAUAGGAGCCUGCAGACCUGUGACGGUCAGCCCUUCGCUGGAGGGGGAUCCCUCAGCGCUGGAUUUGGGAUACAAAAAAAAAAAAUUGCCAAGAGGUAAACACAUCCGGCAAAACCUUCACUUGCUAAGAAGUCAUCUGAGUUGGAAGGACAUUUCCAAGAGAAUAUGAGAACGUGUCAGAUCGACUCUGCAAAGGAAUGGCCUUCUUCGGUCAGUAAGUGGCAGAAAGGAAACAAUUGUUCCUGUCUAACACAGCUCCAAAUCGGCAGCUUAUAAUAUUCCUGUUGAUCUUAGGCUUGUGGUCCCCUCCUUUCUUUUUUUUUUUAUUUAUUUUGCUUAGCAUAUUCAAAUCCAAUUUGUUUUCUUCCCUUUCAUUCUCGUGCUCGACUCCUUUAUUCACUCAUUUAGGUCAGCUUUGCAAAACUGCUCUUGUGUCAUCCUACACAGAAUGCUUGGAAAGGUGAGCGGCACCAGUAGUUUUCCACUUUAUGGCAGGCUUUAUAAUAAAUAAUUAAAAAAAAACCCAUAAAUAGCAGUAGUAUUAGUUCACUGGCGCACAUGAAGUAGCUGUAGUUUAAAGUUUGGUGCAGAAAAGAGCUGUGGGGUUUUUUCUUGUGAUGAUGCAUCCUUAAAACCGUGUCUGUGUUAUGCUUUUGCCAUAAUUAAAUUAUUGCUUAUAAGAACUUUUGCUUGGUCAAAAAGAGGAAAAAAAACCACACAAUUAUAAUAAUUCCAUUUCAGUGUUUUCCAUAAGAUCCUGGCCAAGUUGGCCAAUAACUAAGGCAAGGAGCAGGGGGAAAAAAAAGUGUUGCCAAUGCAUCUGACUUACUACAGACAGAAAGACAGCUGCUUGAAAGCAAUAAUGAGGGUGAGACUGCUGUAGCUUUGAUUUCCUAUAUGUAGUUUGUCUUCUAUAGGCUAUACAAAGGUCGAACCUUCAGGCAUCGUGAUCAUGCAACUGCUUCUGCAGGCAUUUGAUUUUACCAUCCAGUGGCACAAGCCGAAGACAUCGACAGUACAGAGAUGUUGUCUCUGGCUUUUGAGCACGCUUCAGAAAACCAGUUAUGGAAGUUCUUUUACAGGCCUAUCUGAAGUGACUUGGGAGCAAAAGUCUCCACAAGUGAGAGAGGAACCCACAGCAAUGAAAUGUGACAGAAGGUGACUAUGUUCACAAUGGGUCCCUUCCCCUUUUCUGAUGGUCCUGUUUUAAUAUGUUUGUUCUCACUCUGAUGUACAUGGACUGACUCCUCAUUUGCAUGCUGGUACUGGGUUGCAUAUUUAACUCUGUGCUCAGCUGGGAUUCAUUGGGUAUCUUAAAUGUAGGUCAAAAAAGAGACAACUUGGAAGAAAAGUGAGGGAGAAGAAGGGGUGAGAGGAAAGGUUACGUGCAGUGUGCUGCACAGAUGGCUCCUUGUUGCUGGGACAUGUGGCAGAAUCCAUGCUCAUCCGACAGUUGGUUUGCACGAGGCAAAGCUCUUUCAGGGACUGCUGAGGCUCUGAAAAUAUCUGGGUGCAUUCUGCAGGAUGUUCACGCUUUGCUGACCUUGCAGAAGCCUUGAACUAACUGCAAUUUCUCAUCUACUUUUGCAAACUAGGAGGUUUAGCGCAAUGCUGCGAUGGGAUGGAGAUACAAUCAAACAUUUUGCUGCUUGCUAGGUGUCUAGAUGCAGACUCCCCAGCUUUCCAGUGGGCAUUUUGUAGAUCCCACGCCCCCCACCCCCCCAGCAUCUCAGCAGGGGUAAUGAAACUCAACAGAAGAUCCCUGUGGAUCAACCCUUCUCCUGCUGCAAGCCUGUGCAGAAAGCAAGGAUGAAGCAACUGCAAGAUUUAUGUUGGAACAGGAUCCCUAUGGAUCAGAACGUGAAUAACACCUCCAUCCCCUCCCAAGCCUUCCAGACCUGACCUUUCACAAUCACCAUUUCCUGACCAGUGACUCCAAAGAAAAUAGAGCUGCUAGUUGGUAUUUAAUGGAAAUCUGCACAAAACUUGUCAAAAUACACCACCAUGCCUGUCAGAUGCCUGGGACAAGACCUCUACAGUAGUUUCCAGAAACCCAGUCCAAUUACUUACAUUUUAAAUUAUCUUUAAUUGUUGUGUGUGAGCUACAGAAACAUUUCUCGCCACUCCUAAGCAAGACCUCGCUAUUAAGAGUCACCCCCUAAUUGCAGCUCUAAUGGGGAGCCACGGCAGGUCAGAGCCAGGGUUAGCGCAGGGCGAGGCGAGAGCGGCUGCAGUACUGGGAAGUGGAGGUGAUGCAGCACAACGGUUGUGGAGGGGCAGCUUGGAGUGUCAGCUUCUUAGGGAUUUAAUUACCCCACCAGAUGUUUUAAUCCAAUCUCCCUGCCCAUCCCCUGCCAUGAAAUGUGACUUUUGUGUGUGUGUUUCUGAGUGUGGACUCAUAGAAUGGCUUGGGUUGGGGAAGGGACCUUAAAAAAAAUCAUUCAGUUGCAACUCCCUGCCCCAGAGUUGAUCUAGAAUAAACUCAAUGAGUUGUUUUUUUGGGCUCCUCUUUCUUUUUCAUUUUUAUUUUUUUCCUUUUUCUUUGCUAUCUAAGGGAUUACUCAGGCCUGAGCAUGGCUGCACACACAGUACGCGCGGGACUGAACUGAAUCAGACUGAACUCAGGGAUUGAUACGGAUGUCACGGAGGGUGCAAGACUGAUGAAAAAUAGAUGAGGUGGUGGUGGUGCAAAUCUGCUCAAGAGCUGAAUGACAACUGUUAGCCCGGCAAUGCCGAAUUCAGGCAGUCCCUGUCAAUAGCGUUAGAGAUGCUGCACCAGAUUUUCUGAGGCUGUUUGCAAAUUGACCUAAUGUUCCCGUUGACACAAAACCUUGGAAGCGCGGCUACGAGCAGCAUUGCUGAACACGCCUGAUUUGCUCACAGAUUGUGGUCAGAUGUGAGCCUGAAAGCAAAUACUUGCCUAUGCAUCAAGGAGAGGAGAAAACAGUGAAUUAACUACGGACACAGAUGCAUGACAUUACCUUCCAGGAGCAGAUGUGCAGCGCAGGGAAUGAACCAGCACAGGGAGGAGUUUCCUCAGUCAGUGAAUUGUUUUUUUGGUUCAGUGAGACCUCUGGAUGUGCACAUGCAACAUGUCGACUGCGUGGAAAAAUCUUCUCUCUCCUUCUUUCCUUAACGUAAAGAAAAAAAAAAAAAAAAAACAACAAACACAACUCACAGUCUCAAACUGUCCUUUGUUAAAGCACCACUUGAACAGUUUGCUUAAUUUUCACUACUUAUUGCGUUAACUGCUGCUUUUCUUCCCUUCAGCCCCAUCCUGUUCCCCAGGCAGAGAGCAUUCGGACUUGUCCCAAGCACAGCUUCAGCCACACACCUGCGGGAUGGAAACAUGCAGAGCAAACAAUGAAACAAGGCUGUUUAUGAAGCCUUCAACACGUCAGGCAGGGAGAAGAGCCCAAGUUUCCACGUCAAGGCCUAAAUGGACCAGAAUGACGCGAAACACAUGGAAAAUAUGGAAAAUGUGGAAUAAGUAAUAAAAUUAUAAAUAAAACAAAUACAAUAAAUUGGGAA